UCGGGAAUUUUGGGCAAUGGGCGAAAGCCUGACCCAGCAACGCCGCGUGAAGGAUGAAGUAUUUCGGUAUGUAAACUUCGAAAGAAUAGGAAGAAUAAAUGACGGUACUAUUUAUAAGGUCCGGCUAACUACGUGCCAGCAGCCGCGGUAAUACGUAGGGACCAAGCGUUGUCCGGAUUUACUGGGCGUAAAGGGCGCGUAGGCGGCAAUUCAAGUCAUCUGUGAAAUCUCCGGGCUUAACUCGGAACGGUCAGAUGAUACUGCUUUGCUAGAGUGCAGAAGGGGCAAUCGGAAUUCUUGGUGUAGCGGUGAAAUGCGUAGAUAUCAAGAGGAACACCUGAGGUGAAGACGGGUUGCUGGGCUGACACUGACGCUGAGGCGCGAAAGCCAGGGGAGCAAACGGGAUUAGAUACCCCUGUAGUCCCUGAGCGGGCUGGCAAGGCGCAU
rnacentral:rRNA from 1 species